CAUCGCGUGGAGGAUGAAGGUUUUAGGAUUGUAAACUCCUUUUAUGAUUGAACAAGUUCUGAGUGUAGAUCAUGAAUAAGUGCCUGCUAACUACGUGCCAGAAGCAUCGGUAAUACGUAGGGCACAAGCGUUACCCGGAAUUACUGGGCGUAAAGAGAUGCGUAGGCGUCCUUUUAAGUCAACUGUUAAAUCUUCCGGCUCAACCGGAAAACCGCAGUCGAUACUGAAAGGAUUGAGGAAGGUAGAGGAAGUUGGAAUUCCAGGUGGAGUGGUUAAAUACGUAGAUAUCUGGAGGAACACCAAGGGCGAAGGCAAACUUCUGGACCUUUCCUGACGCUGAGGCUCGAUAGCGUGGGUAGCGAAACGGAUUAGAUACCCGUGUAGUCCACGCCGUAAACGAUCUCUGCUAGAUGUUUGUUUUGUAGAGUAUAUUUUCUUCGGAAAGUAUACAAGCAAAAUAGGUAUCGCAGUUAACGCGUUAAGCAGAGCGCCUAGGGAGUACGGCCGCAAGGUUAAAACUUAAAGGAAUUGACGGGGACCCGCACAAGCAGUGGAGCGCCUGGUUUAAUUCGAUGAUCAGCGAAGAAUCUCACCUGGGCUUGAACUUUUGCUACUAAGUCUAUGAAAAUAGGCCUCUGGGUUUGAUGCAUAAGAGGUGGUGCAUGGCUGUCGUCAGCUCGUGUCGUGAGAUGUAGGGUUAAGUCCCACAACGAGCGCAACCCCUACCAAGUGUUAUAAUUUCUCUUGGAACCGCCCUGCCAAAACGGGGAGGAAGGAGGGGACGACGUCCAGUCAGCAUAUCCCUUACGUCCAGGGCUACACAGACGCUACAAUGGCCAAUACAACGGGCAGCCAAGCCGCGAGGCGGAGCUAAUCCCAUCAAAGUUGGUCCCAGUUCGAAUUGUAGGCUGAAACUCGCCUGCAUGAAGUCG
rnacentral:rRNA from 1 species